rnacentral:tRNA from 1 species
GGAGGGGUAUCGUAACUGGUAACGAACUGGUCUUGAAAACCAGCGCCCUUGCGGGCUUGCGGGUUCGAUACGAUACCCCUCCGCCA